AGGUCAAGCUACAAAGGGCGCAUGGUGAAUGCCUUGGCAUCAGGAGCCGAUGAAGGACGCGAUAAGCUGCGAUAAGCUUCGGGUAGACGCACAUAGUCAGAGAUCCGAAGAUUUCCGAAUGAGGAAACUCACAUGGGAAACCCCAUGUAUCGUAAAGUGAAUACAUAGCUUUAUGAAGGUAAACCCAGGGAACUGAAACAUCUAAGUACCUGGAGGAAGAGAAAGAAAAAUCGAUUUUCUUAGUAGCGGCGAGCGAAAGGGAAAGAGCCCAAACCAAAGAUUUAUCUUUGGGGUUGCGGACAGAACAUUAACGAGAAAUUAUGGUUAACCGAACACAACUGGAAAGUUGGACCGUAGGGGGUAAUAGUCCUGUAGGUGAAAAUUAUAAUGAUCAAGUUCUGAUCCAGAGUACCACGAGACACGUGAAACCUUGUGGGAAGCAGGGAGGACCACCUCCCAAGGCUAAAUACUACCUGAUGACCGAUAGUGAAGCAGUACCGUGAGGGAAAGGUGAAAAGAACCCCGGGAGGGGAGUGAAAUAGAACCUGAAACCAUGUGCCUACAACCGAUCAAAGCACCUUAUGUGUGUGAUGAUGUGCUUUUUGUAGAACGAGCCAACGAGUUACGGUAUGUAGCAAGGUUAAGUACUUAAGGUACGGAGCCGAAGGGAAACCGAGUCUUAAUAGGGCGACUAGUUGCAUGCUGUAGACCCGAAACCGGGUGACCUAUCCAUGGCCAGGUUGAAGCGAGGGUAAAACCUCGUGGAGGACCGAACCACGUUGCUGUUGAAAAAGCAUGGGAUGAGCUGUGGAUAGCGGAGAAAUUCCAAUCGAACUCGGAUAUAGCUGGUUCUCCUCGAAAUAGCUUUAGGGCUAGCGUCGGAAAAUGUGAGUACUGGGGGUAGAGCACUGAAUGGGCUAGGGGGCAUAGCGCUUACCGAACCUUAUCAAACUCCGAAUACCAGAUACUAUCAGUCCGGCAGUCAGACUGCGAAAGAUAAGUUCCGUAGUCAAAAGGGAAACAGCCCAGAUCGUCAGCUAAGGUCCCAAAGUGUAAGUUAAGUGGAAAAGGAUGUGGGAUUUCUAAGACAACUAGGAUGUUGGCUUAGAAGCAGCCACUCAUUAAAAGAGUGCGUAAUAGCUCACUAGUCAAGAGAUCCUGCGCCGAAAAUGUCCGGGGCUCAAACUUACCACCGAAGCUACGGGUUCACACAAUAGUGUGAGCGGUAGAGGAGCGUCGUAAUCGGGCUGAAGUCGUACCGUAAGGAGCGGUGGACUGAUUACGAGUGAGAAUGUUGGCAUUAGUAGCGAGAUGUGGGUGAGAAUCCCACAGGCCGAAUACCUAAGGUUUCCUCAGGAAGGUUCGUCCGCUGAGGGUUAGUCGGGACCUAAGCUGAGGCCGAAAGGCGUAAGCGAUGGACAAUCGGUUGAUAUUCCGAUACCACUAUUAUCGUUAUUAUCGAUGGUGUGACGGAGAAGGAUAGGAUGUGCUAGCUAUUGGAUGCUAGUCUAAGCGUUUAGGGAGUUAG
rnacentral:rRNA from 1 species